UGGAAUUGGCAUAUGUAUAUGGAACUCGGUUUGUUUUAUUACUGGUUCUUCUAGCAGCUCUAUACUAUUGCUUGUAGUAUUGUAUGAUUUACAGGUACAGCUAUCGCUUCGUAUACAGGAAAAAAUUUUUUGUAUACGGCGGAUUUGUCGGCGCACCCGAGGAAUGUGUAAUCCGGGGCGUGACGGAUUAAGUUGGUAUCAGAGUUUAUCUAUAGGUCGUUGGAACCUAGGAACCCUAAAUUUGGCAAACCUUAGGAAGGCAAGACGCGAGAGGCGUGAUUUACCGCGAAAGUCACUGAUUGAUUGUUCUAACUCCUCCUGAAGAGGAGGGAGUGAUUGAAGGAGUUUCUGUUUCGGUCCAGAAAAAUUA
rnacentral:lncRNA from 1 species